rnacentral:lncRNA from 1 species
ACAGAACUUUACAGAAGCCUAAAUGGGUGCAACAAAGUACAUCUGUAUAACAUUCAACUUUCUACAAAGCUCCAACAUUAACUUGUCACUGUAUUAUAAUGUAUUCCUUUAGGCUCUGGUGAGAACAAAUGGUCUAUGCACUAAAGGAGAAAACAUGGACAUUCAGGGAAUGCAAGAUGCUGUUCUGAUCAAAACAAAGGGGCUUUCCCACAUCAGAGGCAUAUCUUGUCCACGGCACUCGUCUCUACUUGAGUCCCUCUUCAACACUUAGAUCAGCUCACAAAUGUUCAUUUAAUCUGCAGAGCACAGUAGUACACAGCACUGGUUUGAAAACUCUUUGGAAAUUCAACCUGGAAAUCCAGGGGUUCAUCUGCUAAACUCCUGCUCCUCUGCUCAGCCCAGCCUUGGCUUUACUUCAGCUUGGAAACCUUGACCAGGAAUCUCCCCUUCUCCUUGCCCACUCCCUGGACUGGGCAGAAACAAAAGAGCCUGAAAAUGAUGGACAUAGGGAAGGAGAAAUGAAUCAAGGUACAAGUAUGAAGAGCCAAUGAAGAGAGUCAUGAAGUAUUUUGGAGGAAAGCUCCUUGUGCCAAAUCUAAUUUUUCCUGGAGCUACCCAAGCCCAAGACAUAUUUCUGGAGCCAGCCAAAGAAGAGGCCCAUGGAAUUUUAAGUAUCUUGAAAACAAAAGAAAUCCAGGCUGAGAUGUCCAGUGUAUUUAUAUUCAGGCACAGAGCAACACAGUAAUGAUAUAUUUGUUCUUUACAUCCCAAAACAAUAUGACAUACAAAACAUUGAGGAAAACCCUCAAAAAAGGAAAAAGCUCACAAUAACAAAUAAUAGUAGCUGCUAUAAAACUAGCCUUGGCUA